AACAGGAUUAGAUACCCUGGUAGUCCACGCCCUAAACGAUGUCUACUAGUUGUCGGGUUUUAAUUAACUUGGUAACGCAGCUAACGCGUGAAGUAGACCGCCUGGGGAGUACGGUCGCAAGAUUAAAACUCAAAGGAAUUGACGGGGACCCGCACAAGCGGUGGAUGAUGUGGAUUAAUUCGAUGCAACGCGAAAAACCUUACCUACCCUUGACAUGGAAGGAAUCCUGGAGAGAUCCGGGAGUGCCCGAAAGGGAGCCUUUACACAGGUGCUGCAUGGCUGUCGUCAGCUCGUGUCGUGAGAUGUUGGGAUAAGUCCCGCAACGAGCGCAACCCUUGUCAUUAGUUGCUACGAAAGGGCACUCUAAUGAGACUGCCGGUGACAAACCGGAGGAAGGUGGGGAUGACGUCAAGUCCUCAUGGCCCUUAUGGGUAGGGCUUCACACGUCAUACAAUGGUACAUACAGAGGGCCGCCAACCCGCGAGGGGGAGCUAAUCCCAGAAAGUGUAUCGUAGUCCGGAUUGUAGUCUGCAACUCGACUACAUGAAGUUGGAAUCGCUAGUAAUCGCGGAUCAGCAUGUCGCGGUGAAUACGUUCCCGGGUCUUGUACACACCGCCCGUCACACCAUGGGAGCGGGUUUUACCAGAAGUAGGUAGCUUAACCGCAAGGAGGGCGCUUACCACGGUAGGAUUCGUGACUGGGGUGAAGUCGUAACAAGGUAACC
rnacentral:rRNA from 1 species